rnacentral:rRNA from 1 species
UACGGAGGAUGCGAGCGUUAUCCGGAUUUAUUGGGUUUAAAGGGUGCGUAGGCGGAUGAAUAAGUCAGUGGUGAAAGGCUGCAGCUUUUAAGGUUGGAAGUGCUAUUGAAACUGUGCAGCUUGAGUGCAGGAGAGGUUAUCGGAAUUCCCGGUGUAGCGGUGAAAUGCGUAGAGAUCGGGAGGAACACCAGUGGCGAAGGCGGGUGACUGGACUGCAACUGACGCUGAGGCGCGAAAGUGUGGGGAGCAAACAGGAUUAGA